GGCGGCCGUAACUAUAACGGUCCUAAGGUAGCGAAAUUCCUUGUCGGUUAAAUACCGACCUGCAUGAAUGGCGUAACGAGAUGGGAGCUGUCUCAACCAGAGAUUCAGUGAAAUUGUAGUGGAGGUGAAAAUUCCUCCUACCCGCGGCAAGACGGAAAGACCCCGUGGA
rnacentral:rRNA from 1 species